rnacentral:rRNA from 1 species
UACGUAGGGUGCGAGCGUUAAUCGGAAUUACUGGGCGUAAAGCGUGCGCAGGCGGUUUUGUAAGCCAGAUGUGAAAUCCCCGGGCUUAACCUGGGAAUGGCAUUUGGGACUGCAAGGCUUGAGUGCGGCAGAGGAGAAUGGAAUUCCCGGUGUAGCGGUGAAAUGCGCAGAUAUCGGGAGGAACACCGGUGGCGAAGGCGGCAUCCUGGACCGGCAUUGACGCUGAGGAGCGAAAGCGUGGGGAGCAAACAGGG